GGAGAGGUGCCCGGAGUGGUUGAUCGGGGACCAGCGAGCACGCCUCAAGGUCGGACCCCCAGGGGUCCACGCAGGUUCGAAUCCUGCCCUCUCCGCCA
rnacentral:tRNA from 1 species